UACGUAGGGUGCGAGCGUUGCCCGGAUUUAUUGGGCGUAAAGGGCGCGUAGGCGGCCACGCACGUCCGUUGUGAAAUCGCCCGGCUCAACUGGGCGGGGUCAGCGGAUACGGUGUGGCUAGAGCAAGCUAGGGGGCAAUGGAAUUCCCGGUGUAGUGGUGGAAUGCGUAGAUAUCGGGAGGAACACCAGUGGCGAAGGCGGUUGCCUGGAGCUUUGCUGACGCUGAUGCGCGAAAGCGUGGGAAGCGAUCCGG
rnacentral:rRNA from 1 species